ensembl:misc_RNA Metazoa_SRP Metazoan signal recognition particle RNA
GCUGGGCACGGUGGUGCGUGCCUGUAGUCCCAGCUACUCGGGAGGCUAAGGCUGGAGGAUCGCUUGAGCCCAGGAGUUCUGGGCUGUAGUGAACUAUGCCGAUUGGGUGUCCGCACUAAGUUCGGCAUCAAUAUGGUGACCUCUCGAGAGCAGGGGACCACCAGUUGCCUAAGGAAGGGUGAACCAGCCCAGGUCGGAAACAGAGCAGGUCAAAACUCCAUGCUGAUCAGCAGUGGGAUCGCGCCUGUGAAUAGCCACUGCCCUCCAGCCUGGACAACAUAGCAAGACCCCUUCUCUU